rnacentral:rRNA from 1 species
AGCGAACGCUGGCGGCGUGCCUAACACAUGCAAGUCGAACGGGAAUACUUUCGGGUUAGUACCGUGGCGAACGGGUGAGUAACGCGUGGGUAAUCUACUCUUUGAUGGGGGAUAACCAUUCGAAAGGAUGGCUAAUACCGCAUAAGACCGAGAAGACGAGAGUCAUCAUGGUGAAAGGGGGCGUAAGCUCCUGUCGAAGAAUGAGCCUGCGUCCCAUUAGCUAGUUGGCGGGGUAAUGGCCCACCAAGGCUUAGAUGGGUAGCUGGUCUGAGAGGAUGAUCAGCCACACUGGGACUGAGACACGGCCCAGACUCCUACGGGAGGCAGCAGUGGGGAAUAUUGCGCAAUGGGGGAAACCCUGACGCAGCAACGCCGCGUGGGUGAAGAAGGCCUCGGUU